ACACCUGAUCUUUGCCCUAAAUUUUUCAAUUUCAAGAUUUUCCUCACUCAAAUGCACAUGCAAACCUAUAAUGUAUUAAGAGAGAAUUUGGAAAAUAAAUAACAAACACAAAAAUUGAAAUUGCUUUACAACAAUUGGGAUGGCCCCAACAAACACCCAUCAGUAGGUGUUGAAUUUCUUCUUGCUUGGUAUUCUCUUCUUCUUCUUCUUUCUGCUAAAUCUCUUCAAAAAUGUUUAUCGAACCAAGUACAUGUUUCCAUGCAUCAAUCAUAGGAACCUUAAUCUCCGAUUUCUUGAAGAUCUCCAUGAAGUACUUGAACCUAUUUUCCUUGCUAUGAUUUUUCUUCUGAUGAGGAAAGGUUUUUUUAUGUGAUCUUUUCUUCUUUACCCUCUUCCUCUUUUUCUCAACCUUCUCCCUCAACUUUCUCUUUUUCUCUUUUCUUCUUUUGUUCUUUAUUUUCGCAUAUCUUCUCUUUUUUUAUUUUUUUUUAACCACUGCUUUUUCUCCCUCAUUAUCUUUAUCUUCCUCAACCAACUCUUCUGUUUCUUCUUCUUUUAAAUCUCUCUCUAUCUCUUCUUCCUUGACAACCUUAUCAUUUUUAGAUAUCGUGGCUUGAUAUUCUUCUUCAGGGUUAACUUCAGUAUUAUCCCUAAUAAUGCCCAAAGACUUCAAUAUGCAAGAGUGUUGUUCCUGCAAUAAACGUUCUUGUGCUUCCCCCAAUGUUUCUUUUGGCAAGGAGGAUAAUUUCUGAUGUAAAACUCGUUCAGCUUCUCCCAAUGUUUCUUUUGGCACAAAGGAGAGUUCCUGCCAUAAACGAUGCUUAGCUUCCCCCAACGUUUUUGUUGGCCUAGAGAGUUAUUUCUUAACAUCUCGCCCCUUCUAGCUUUGAUUCAAGUUUGAGUAAGGUUCCCACCAGUGGUUGGAAUUAUUUUGGUAGAAUUAAGUGCCCACAUAAUCAAAUUCUUGUCUAAACUGCAUUCUACAAACAUUAGGCACAAAACCCUAGAAAACAUUUAUUAGAACAAAAAUAUAAAUAAAAAUAAACAUAAAAUCAAGUCAAAUUCAAUCAAUCCACACUACUUGAAAAAGUAAAACUCGAGUCCCCGGCAAAGGCGCCAAAAACUUGUUAACGGAUUGGCAAGCGUAUCAAAUCGUAUCAAGUAAUAAUAAAUGGUAAGUCCAAGUAUCGUUUUCCUAAGAGACUCGAAAGGCCUUAUCGUUCGCGUGAAUUAAGAUCGUAAGACUUGAAAAUAAAAAUUAAUUAAUUGGGUAUGAGAACAAAAUAUAAACAUGCAAAAGAGAUUGAUUCAAUUGACGAGAAGAAAACGAUGGAUGAAUGGAGUUGUUGGGGGUUUACAAUUUCAUCUUAGCCGCUCUCUCUUAUUUACUCCUUUUGAUUUAUUUGCUUGAUUAAUUAAUUGUUAUGCAACUUUCUUGGCCUAUCCUUAACUCGAUCCCUCGGCGAAAAGAGCCUAUUACUAAUUACUGGCUUGUUA
rnacentral:lncRNA from 1 species